GUGCCAGCAGCCGCGGUAAUACGUAAGGUCCGAGCGUUGUCCGGAAUCAUUGGGCGUAAAGGGUACGUAGGCGGGUAAGCAAGUUAGAAGUGAAAUCCUAUAGCUCAACUAUAGUAAGCUUUUAAAACUGUUUAUCUUGAGGUAUGGAAGGGAAAGUGGAAUUCCUAGUGUAGCGGUGAAAUGCGCAGAUAUUAGGAGGAAUACCGGUGGCGAAGGCGACUUUCUGGCCAUAACCUGACGCUGAGGU
rnacentral:rRNA from 1 species